rnacentral:rRNA from 1 species
AUUGAACGCUGGCGGCAGGCCUAACACAUGCAAGUCGAACGAGUAGCGGACGGGUGGGUAAUGUCUGGGAAACUGCCUGAUGGAGGGGGAUAACUACUGGAAACGGUAGCUAAUACAGCAUACCAUCAGAUGUGGCCAGAUUGGAUUAGCUUGUUGGUGGGGUAACGGCGCACCAAGGGGACGCUUCAUAGCUGGUCUGAGAGGAUGACCAGCCACACUGGAACUGAGACACGGUCCAGACUCCUACGGGAGGCAGCAGUGGGGAAUAUUGGGCAAUGGGCGCAAGUCUGAUGCAGCAACGCCGCGUGUAUGAAGAAGGUCUUCGGAUUGUAAAGUACUUUUAUCUGAGAAGCGUUAUCUGCAGAAGAAGCACCGGCUAACUCCGUGCCAGCAGCCGCGGUAAUUC